UACGUAGGGUCCGAGCGUUGUCCGGAAUUAUUGGGCGUAAAGAGCUCGUAGGCGGUUCGUCGCGUCGGCUGUGAAAACCUGAGGCUCAACCUCAGGCCUGCAGUCGAUACGGGCGGACUUGAGUGUUGCAGGGGAGACUGGAAUUCCUGGUGUAGCGGUGAAAUGCGCAGAUAUCAGGAGGAACACCGGUGGCGAAGGCGGGUCUCUGGGCAACUACUGACGCUGAGGAGCGAAAGCGUGGGGAGCGAACAGG
rnacentral:rRNA from 1 species